rnacentral:rRNA from 1 species
AGAUGGUUCAUCCUGAACCUUGACCAUGAUGCCUUUAUUCAUACUUGCAUGUUUACUAGCCUUGUUUACUUGAUAGGGCAUGGUUGCUUGCUAGUUUCUUGGGUUGUUUUUGGUUCCAGGUAUUGGAGGCUGGCUCGGCGCCUUGGUGGUGUGGCGAGCGCCGCGCGGUGAUCGUUUGGGCGAUCGGGAAGGCCGUGACACCUACCAUGGUGGUGAUGGGUGACGGAGAAUUAGGGUUCGAUUCCGGAGAGGGAGCCUGAGAAAUGGCUACCAGAUCCAAGGAAGGCAGCAGGCGCGCAAAUUACCCAAUCCUGGCAUGGGGAGGUAGUGACAAUAAAUAACAAUACCGGGCCCUUCGGGUCUGGUAAUUGGAAUGAGUACAAUCUAAAUCCCUUAACGAGGAUCCAUUGGAGGACAAGUCUAGUGCCAGCAGCCGCGGUAAUUCCAGCUCUAAUAGUGUAUAUUUAAGUUGUUGCAGUUAAAAAGCUCAUAGUCGGACCUUGGGCCGGGCCGGUCGGUCCAUCUCCCGGUGUGCACCGGCCGUCCCGUCCCCUCUGCCGGUGAUGCGCUCCUGGCCUUAACUGGCCGGGUCAUGCCUCCGGCGCCGUUACUUUGAAGAAAUAAGAGUGCUCAAAGCAAGCAAACGCUCUGGAUACAUUAGCAUGGGAUAACAUCAUAGGAUUCCGGUCCUAUUGUGUUGGCCUUCGGGAUCGGAGUAAUGAUUAAGAAGGACAGUCGGGGACAUUCGUAUUUCAUAGUCAGAGGUGAAAUUCUUGGAUUUAUGAAAGAUGAACCACUGCGAAAGCAUUUGCCAAGGAUGUUUUCAUUGAUCAAGAAUGAAAGUUGGGGGAUCCUAGUCUCAACCAUAAACGAUGCCGACCAGGGAUCGACGGAUGUUGCUUUUAGGACUCCGCCGGCACCUUAUUAGAAAUCAAAGUCUUUGGGUACCGGGGAGAGUAUGGUCGCAAGGCUGAAACUUAAAGGAAUUGAUGGAAGGGCACCACCAGGAGUGGAGCCUAUGGCUUAAUUUGACUCAACACGGGGAAACUUACUAGGUCCAGACAUAGAAAGGAUUGACAGACUGAGAGCUCUUUCUUGAUUCUAUGGGUGGUGGUGUGAUAAACGUCUAAAAGUACGUAUUUUACAUGUAUUUGUUUUGUAUUAUUCUUUAUAUUUAUUUUUUGAAUCGAUGCCCUUUUGGUUUAAUUGUGUUAUUUUUACAUUUCAGGCCCAUUAGAAGCCCUUGGGGCUCAGCGACGCGAUUGGGGAUGAAUUCGGCAACAUAAUGGCGUGUCUGGUCCGGGAUCACUGUAGCAGUUUCACUGUAGCUCAUCACGGGCUUCUCAGCUGGAAAACUGAAAUUCCCGAUGGGUAGGCAUACGGGCGGUAUACUGACCCGUUUACCGAUUGGGAUCUGGGCAUAUAUAUGGCUUGUUAGGGCACCAAUUAAGGGACUUUUGGCCACUACUCUCCACCAUCAUCCUCUAGAGCUUCAAGGCUGCGGGAGAAGGCAGAUCUGAGGGGAAAAUCAAAGGGAGAAGAAGGUUACACUCAAGGAAAACGAUCUAGGAGCUCGCCUGCGCGCAUCCGAUGGGUUUUCAU